AGCGAACGCUGGCGGCAGGCCUAACACAUGCAAGUCGAACGAACUCUUCGGAGUUAGUGGCGGACGGGUGAGUAGCACGUGGGAACGUGCCUUUUGGUUCGGAAUAACUCAGGGGAACUUGUGCUAAUACCGAAUGUGCCCUUCGGGGGAAAGAUUUAUCGCCAUUAGAGCGGCCCGCGUCUGAUUAGCUAGUUGGUGAGGUAACGGCUCACCAAGGCGACGAUCAGUAGCUGGUCUGAGAGGAUGACCAGCCACACUGGGACUGAGACACGGCCCAGACUCCUACGGGAGGCAGCAGUGGGAAAUCUUGCGCAAUGGGCGAAAGCCUGACGCAGCCAUGCCGCGUGAAUGAUGAAGGUCUUAGGAUUGUAAAAUUCUUUCACCGGGGACGAUAAUGACGGUACCCGGAGAAGAAGCCCCGGCUAACUUCGUG
rnacentral:rRNA from 1 species